UUGAACUGAAGAGUUUGAUCAUGGCUCAGAUUGAACGCUGGCGGCAGGCCUAACACAUGCAAGUCGAGCGGCAGCACGGGUACUUGUACCUGGUGGCGAGCGGCGGACGGGUGAGUAAUGCCU
rnacentral:rRNA from 2 species